ACCGGGUGACCGGAUGCCGAUCUCGAAAACCUGUCCCAGUUCGGACUGGAGUCUGCAACCCGACUCCACGAAGUUGGAUUCGCUAGUAAUCGCGCAUCAGCCAUGGCGCGGUGAAUACGUUCCCGGGCCUUGUACACACCGCCCGUCAAGCCAUGGGAGCCGGGGGCGCCUGAAGUCCGGGACCGCGAGGACCGGCCUAGGGCGAAACUGGUGACUGGGGCUAAGUCGUAACAAGGUAUC
rnacentral:rRNA from 1 species